GUUUCCAUUACAUUCUAUUAUAAUUCAGUGCGUUGCAUUGUUAUGCAUUUUAUCUUCUUGGAUACUGCCCAAUAGUCCAUCGAUCUUAUGUAACUUGUACAAUUGACAUACUGAAACUCCCAUAGGAUAUGAAAUAAUAUAAUGUCGACCCAUACUCGAUAGGCAGCGCUGCGUUGUACAUUAUUCGAAUUAAUGUAAUAUAUGAAAGAAUGCUAAGUAAUAGAUGUAAAAUUUCAU